AGUGAGGAAUAUUGGUCAAUGGGCGGAAGCCUGAACCAGCCAUGCCGCGUGCAGGAAGACGGCCCUACGGGUUGUAAACUGCUUUUCUGCGGGAAGAACGGCCUUUACGUGUAAAGGUGUGACGGUACCGCAGGAAUAAGGAUCGGCUAACUCCGUGCCAGCAGCCGCGGUAAUACGGAGGAUCCGAGCGUUAUCCGGAUUUACUGGGUUUAAAGGGUGCGUAGGCGGCUCCCUCAGUCAGCGGUGAAAUGUAUCGGCUCAACCGAUAACCUGCCGUUGAUACUGGGGAGCUUGAGUUGGGUUGAGGCAGGCGGAAUGUGCGGUGUAGCGGUGAAAUGCUUAGAUAUCGCACAGAACGCCGAUUGCGUAGGCAGCUUGCCAAGCCCACACUGACGCUGAGGCACGAAAGCGUGGGGAUCAAACAGGAUUAGAUACCCUGGUAGUCCACGCCGUAAACGAUGAUAGCUCGCUGUUGGCAAUACA
rnacentral:rRNA from 1 species